CCACAAACUAAAUGCAGUUUCUCAAGAAAUGGGGGUUUGCCAAAUGCUCAUAGUGGGAGAGGCUACACAAAUAGCUGCAACAUGGCACACAGUCGCAUAUUUCUUUUCUCACUGCUGAGGAAGAAGAGGUUGUGUUGUCUUUGAGAAAACUUCAAUAGCAAGACUUGGAAGGAGCAAGAUGGAAAUUCUGCAGAGGCAAAACUGACCUGGGUGUCUCUGCUCUGGUUGGUCUGACAUCUGAGCUGCUCUGCUUUGGAAGGGGAGCUUAGUAAGAAGGAUUCUCUGAAGCACAUAGGAAGAAAGAAGGACUUGUUUUCCUGUUCCGUAGAAGCUUUUCAUAACCCCCCCAUAAGGCUCCAUAAGGGCAGGCUUUGGCUUGAAAUCACAGCUUCAGUGCUCAAGGUUUAUCCCUGUCUGCUUUCCCUUCAUCCUUCUUCACGUGGCUUAAGGAAAAAUUUGUUGUGCUCCAGUAUCCAACCUAUGUAUGAACAGACACAGCUUUUUCUAGCAUGCUCAGCAAACGUUUCAGUGUUCAUCAGAAAACAGCUCUUUGAAGUCAUUCUUUAUUACUCGAAACCUGUUUGUGGGUCUUGCUUGUUGAACAGAAUUGUUCUUACUCUUUGAUCGGAUGAAGUGCUUGAGCAAAUUCAGUGGAAACGUGCAUGUGGAGAUAUAAAAGUGUGGGGAUUUUUGUGCUUAGCUACCAAAUGUUAAUGUUUGCUGGAAAUAAAAUUGCUUGCAUGAAUGUCUUAAGCUCAACAUAAAAGGAUGAUGAUACACAAUUGAGGAAAAUGUAUUAUAAAUUAAAAACAAAAGCAAGCAAACAAACAAAAAUCAAACAACAAACCAAAAUAUUUUAAUGUAAUUUUCACAGUCCCGUUGCUCUUUGUAUCACUUCUGUGCUUCUCCGUAUUGCAGUGCAAUCUUCUGAAGCUGGAGAAUUAUUUCUCUUGAUUUAAUUUUGUAUAAUAUCUCAGUCCUCCUUUCUACUCAGGACUGGUCGCAUUCAUUCAAAUAAAUAGUCAGCUUCUAUAUUCCUAUUAUGUUCCAGGCACUUUUGCUGUUUCCAGUUGGAUUGGCUUGGGUAGUCUUCCUUCUUUUCUCCUUCACACCCACUCGUGAGCUGUAGAACAGUUGUCAUGUGGCAGGCUCAUGUGCUGCAUCUGGACACACAGUCAUGUUUGUAGACUGAGAUGGUAAGAGUGGUGAAGAGCAUUCAGUUCUAACCACCCCUGUUCCUGCAUUUAUGAUUUCCUCAGACUUUUGCAUCAUUAGAUGACUUUUAUUCCAGCAUUUGCUUUGCCUCAAAAAACUGAGGGAAAAUAAAAAUAUUUUAACAUAAACAUUGUUACAUAUUGUUGAAGAUCAGUUAUGAUGUAACAUGCCUGUAUGAACCAGUGAUUAUCUGAAAAUAGAUUAAUAUUAAUGAAGUUGAUAUUAGGUGUAUAAUUUAUUUGUAUGUAUUUUUGGAACUUAGAUAUGCCUCUGUAUGAAUGACGUGUCCGGCAGUUGAAUUCUUUGCCUCUAUGUGGUCAGCAGAAAAUAAAAAUAGUCAAAGUUCUUCUCUCAGCCCACAUAACUUAGCAAAGAAAAAGAGGCUUUGCAUUUUCCUUGUCUCUGUGUUUAAAAUCACAAAAAUUAAUAAAGAGAAAAGCUUUUGAAUCCCG
ensembl:lncRNA